AUGGAGGUAGGGCUUGUUGGGUAGAUUAGAACAGCUUGGAUUGCAUCAAUACUGCCUAUACUCUUGGCUUCUCUACCCUGUUCAAGGCUGACCCCGUUUUAUGAAGGUCUUAUGGGAUUUGCCAAGCGAGGGAAGAUCAUGCAAUCUUCCUCUCAUCAGAAAUUCACAGUUCCUCAGAAGUUCUUCGGUCAUUUCUAUGUAGCGGCUGUUGCGUGGACAACUGUACUUUUAGUUACAACUUGGACGUAUGCAUAUAAUAUGGUGCCAUUCACCAGCCAGUCUACUGAAGAUUCACAUAUCAUUAGCGUUUGGCGUUCUGUGUUUCUGCUUUUGUUGAUGGAAGUUCAGGUCCUGAGGCGGCUCUUUGAGACACUAUACGUCUUCAACUAUAGCUCCUCUGCUAGGUUGCACAUUUUCGGAUAUCUGACUGGCUAUUUUUUCUACACACUUGCCCCUAUAUCACUUUGCUACAACCACGCUCACGAGGUCUACAAAUUUUCUGUAAAUGGAGUGGCUGAGAUCCUUGUCAAAGGCAAUACUACUAGUGUGCAAGAGUUUUACUUGUUGGAAUUCUUAAGUCCUUUUUUGAAGCUCGGGUGGCUCCAGUGGACUGGUGCAGCUAUAUUCUUUUGGGGAUGGAUCCACCAGCGCAAUUGCCAUAAAAUUCUUGGCUCGUUACGGAAGAACAGAACACAAAAUGACUCGUAUAUGAUCCCUUAUGGUGAUUGGUUUGAACUUGUUUCAUCUCCACACUUUCUUGCUGAGAUAGUUAUAUAUGUUGGAUUUGUGGUCGCUAGUGGAGGAGCAGACCUCACAGUCUGGUUACUACUGGGAUUCACGGUGUCUAACUUAACAUUUGCAGCAUAGGUGGUACCUUCGAAAAUUUGAAAAUUACCCCAGUAAUCGGUGUUCCAUUAUUCCAUUUGCUGAAUAA